UACGUAGGGUGCGAGCGUUGUCCGGAAUUACUGGGCGUAAAGAGCUCGUAGGUGGUUUGUCGCGUUGUUCGUGAAAACUCACAGCUUAACUGUGGGCGUGCGGGCGAUACGGGCAGACUGGAGUACUGCAGGGGAGACUGGAAUUCCUGGUGUAGCGGUGGAAUGCGUAGAUAUCGGGAGGAACGCCAGUGGCGAAGGCGGUCACCUGGGCCGUCCCUGACGCUGAGACGCGAAAGCUGGGGGAGCGAACGGG
rnacentral:rRNA from 1 species